GACGAACGCUGGCGGCGUGCUUAACACAUGCCAGUCGAACGGAAAGGCCCUGCUUUUGUGGGGUGCUCGAGUGGCGAACGGGUGAGUAACACGUGAGUAACCUGCCCUUGACUUUGGGAUAACUUCAGGAAACUGGGGCUAAUACCGGAUAGGAGCUCCUGCUGCAUGGUGGGGGUUGGAAAGUUUCGGCGGUUGGGGAUGGACUCGCGGCUUAUCAGCUUGUUUGUGGGGUAGUGGCUUACCAAGGCUUUGACGGGUAGCCGGCCUGAGAGGGUGACCGGCGACCUUGGUACUGCGAGACGGACCAGACUCCAACGGGCGGCAGCAGUGGGGAAUCUUGCACAAUGGGCGGACGCCUGAUGCAGCAAUGCCGGGUGCGGGAUGAUGGCUUACGGGUUAUAAACAGCUUUCUAAGGUGCCGAAGAGUGAGUGACGGUACUGGGUCAAGAAGCAACGGCUAACUACGUG
rnacentral:rRNA from 1 species